CAAUAAGCGGAGGAAAAGAAACCAACAGGGAUUGCCCUAGUAACGGCGAGUGAAGCGGCAACAGCUCAAAUUUGAAAUCUGGCGCAAGCCCGAGUUGUAAUUUGUAGAGGAUGCUUCUAGGCAGCGACCGGUCUAAGUUCCUUGGAACAGGACGUCAUAGAGGGUGAGAAUCCCGUAUGUGACUGGUUGGCACCUAACACGUAGCUCCUUCGACGAGUCGAGUUGUUUGGGAAUGCAGCUCUAAAUGGGAGGUAAAUUUCUUCUAAAGCUAAAUACCGGCCAGAGACCGAUAGCGCACAAGUAGAGUGAUCGAAAGAUGAAAAGCACUUUGGAAAGAGAGUUAAAAAGCACGUGAAAUUGUUGAAAGGGAAGCGCAUGCAACCAGACUUGUCGGCGGUGUUCCGCCGGUCUUUUGACCGGUCUACUCGCCGCCGGCAGGCCAACAUCACUUGGGACCGCUGGAUAAAGGCCAUGGAAAUGUAGCUCCUCGGAGUGUUAUAGUCCGUGGCACAAUACAGCGCGCCCCGAGUGAGGUCCGCGCUUCGGCUAGGAUGUUGGCGUAAUGGUCGUAUGCGGCCCGUCUUGAAACACGGACCAAGGAGUCUACCAUCUAUGCGAGUGUUCGGGUGUUAAACCCCUACGCGGAAUGAAAGUGAACGGAGGUGGGAACUUUAUUGUGCACCAUCGACCGAUCCUGAUGUCUUCGGAUGGAUUUGAGUAAGAGCAUAGCUGGUGGGACCCGAAAGAUGGUGAACUAUGCCUGAAUAGGGUGAAGCCAGAGGAAACUCUGGUGGAGGCUCGCAGCGGUUCUGACGUGCAAAUCGAUCGUCAAAUUUGGGUAUAGGGGCGAAAGACUAAUCGAACCAU
rnacentral:rRNA from 1 species